GGGGCUGAUUCUGGAUUCGACGGGAUUUGCGAAACCCAAGGUGCAUGCCGAGGGGCGGUUGGCCUCGUAAAAAGCCGCAAAAAAAUAGUCGCAAACGACGAAAACUACGCUUUAGCAGCUUAAUAACCUGCUUAGAGCCCUCUCUCCCUAGCCUCCGCUCUUAGGACGGGGAUCAAGAGAGGUCAAACCCAAAAGAGAUCGCGCGGAUGCCCUGCCUGGGGUUGAAGCGUUAAAACGAAUCAGGCUAGUCUGGUAGUGGCGUGUCCGUCCGCAGGUGCCAGGCGAAUGUAAAGACUGACUAAGCAUGUAGUACCGAGGAUGUAGGAAUUUCGGACGCGGGUUCAACUCCCGCCAGCUCCACC
rnacentral:tmRNA from 4 species